UACGGAGGGAGCUAGCGUUGUUCGGAAUUACUGGGCGUAAAGCGCGCGUAGGCGGCUUUGUAAGUUAGAGGUGAAAGCCCGGGGCUCAACCCCGGAACUGCCUUUAAGACUGCAUCGCUUGAAUCCGGGAGAGGUGAGUGGAAUUCCGAGUGUAGAGGUGAAAUUCGUAGAUAUUAGGAAGAACACCAGUGGCGAAGGCGGCUCACUGGCCCGGUACUGACGCUCAUGUGCGAAAGCGUGGGGAGCAAACAGG
rnacentral:rRNA from 1 species